GUUUCUUUUGCAUGUGCUCCUUGGACUCGGAUUGUGUAGUGUGGCACACAGCACCAAUGUCAGUACUGUGCACUAUUGGAAAAGCUGUGGGGCCCAUCAUGAUAAGGAAAAACAGAAGCAGGAAGGACACUGAAGUGGCAUAUGCAGAAGGACAGAGAAGUUUACAUUUUCUUCAUUCUUCUUUUCACUUCUCUGAUAUUCCAUUGUAUUAAAGAAGUCUUGUACUAAGAAAGAUUUGAUUCACAACUUAGAAAAUCACAAAGCAACAAUAUUUUUGUGAAUACAAAUUCCUCAUGUUUGAAGUAAUCAAA